rnacentral:rRNA from 1 species
AGAGUUUGAUCCUGGCUCAGAUUGAACGCUGGCGGCAUGCCUUACACAUGCAAGUCGAACGGCAGCACGGGAGCAAUCCUGGUGGCGAGUGGCGAACGGGUGAGUAAUAUAUCGGAACGUGCCCAGUCGUGGGGGAUAACGCAGCGAAAGCUGUGCUAAUACCGCAGACGAUCUCUGGAUGAAAGCGGGGGACUCGUAAGAGCCUCGCGCGAUUGGAGCGGCCGAUAUCAGAUUAGCUAGUUGGUGGGGUAAAGGCCCACCAAGGCGACGAUCUGUAGCUGGUCUGAGAGGACGACCAGCCACACUGGAACUGAGACACGGUCCAGACUCCUACGGGAGGCAGCAGUGGGGAAUUUUGGACAAUGGGCGCAAGCCUGAUCCAGCAAUGCCGCGUGCAGGAUGAAGGCCUUCGGGUUGUAAACUGCUUUUGUACGGAACGAAAAGGUCUGCCUUAAUACGGUGGGCCCAUGACGGUACCGUAAGAAUAAGCACCGGCUAACUACGUGCCAGCAGCCGCGGUAAUACGUAGGGUGCGAGCGUUAAUCGGAAUUACUGGGCGUAAAGCGUGCGCAGGCGGUUAUAUAAGACAGAUGUGAAAUCCCCGGGCUCAACCU